AUGGAGGCCUUCCUCGCCGGCUUCCGGGCGCCGCCUCGAGCUUCCGCCGUACCCACCGCCCGGAGCCCGCCUCCCAGCCCCUUUUUUCUCGGCACACGGCGCAGGAAGCCCUCCUCCUCUGCCUCCGUGGUCUGCAUGGCGGAGCCACAUCUCAUAUCAAAGUUGGAUUCUACAGAGAGGGCAUGGAAAGAAAUGUCGAUUAGAUUGGGUGACCCUGACAUUGUCUCAGAUCCGAGCGAAUACCAAAAACUUGCACAGUCUGUUUCCGAUCUGGGAGAGGUUGUGACGGCAUAUAGGGAAUUUAAGGAAUGUGAACGGCAGAUUGAAGAAACAAAAGCUUUGCAAAAAGAGAAUGGUGAUGACCCUGAUAUGGCUGAGAUGAUAACUUCAGAGCUAGAGUCUCUCUCUGAUCAGCUUGCGGAGCUCGAGGAAAGACUGACGGUACUUCUGCUUCCAAGCGACCCUCUAAAUUCACGUAACAUCUUACUUGAAGUAAGAGCUGGCACUGGAGGUGAUGAAGCUGGAAUUUGGGCUGGUGACCUUGUACGCAUGUAUCAAAGAUAUUGUGAGCUCAACAAUUGGAAGUUUAAACCAGUUUCUUGCUCAGAAGCAGAAAAGGGUGGAUACAAGACAUUUGUGAUGGAGGUGAAGGGAAAGCAAGUCUACAGUAAACUGAAGUUUGAGUCAGGUGUGCACCGUGUUCAGCGUGUACCACAGACAGAGACUAUGGGUCGUGUUCACACGUCAACCGCAACUGUGGCUAUUAUGCCAGAGGCCGACGAAGUGGACGUGGUUAUCGAUCCAAAAGAUAUUGAACUUAAAGCUGCAAGAUCUGGUGGAGCUGGAGAUAUACCACUUCUGGAGUGGCAGAAUGUUAACAAGGUGGAGACGGCUAUUGAUCUUAUUCACAAGCCUACGGGAAUAAGGAUAUUCUGCACAGAAGAAAGGUCACAACUUCAAAACAAAGAACGCGCAUUCCAGUUAUUAAGAGCAAAACUAUAUGAGAUAAAGUUAAGGGAGCAACAAGAGUCCAUAAGAACCCAGAGGUUACUGCAGGUCGGUACUGGUGCUCGCUCGGACAAGAUACGGACGUACAAUUAUAAGGACAACAGAGUGACUGAUCAUCGGUUGAAGAUGAAUUUUGUAUUGUCUAGCUUCCUUUUAGGAGAUAUUGAGUCAGCUGUUCAGUCCUGCGCUGCAUUGGAGCAGAAGGAACUCUUGGAGGAAAUGGCCACUUCUUCUGCAGUGAAGGCAUGA
rnacentral:rRNA from 1 species